rnacentral:rRNA from 1 species
UUCAUGGAGAGUUUGAUCCUGGCUCAGGACGAACGCUGGCGGCGUGCCUAAUACAUGCAAGUCGAGCGGACCGACGGGAGCUUGCUCCCUUAGGUCAGCGGCGGACGGGUGAGUAACACGUGGGUAACCUGCCUGUAAGACUGGGAUAACUCCGGGAAACCGGGGCUAAUACCGGAUGCUUGAUUGAACCGCAUGGUUUAAUUAUAAAAGGUGGC